CAUUUAAUUUAUAACAAACUCUUUGUGUUCAGUUAAACCAACUGCCCCAACUGAUCUCAAAGUCCAGAGCACAUCUGAUAGCUACAACAUUUCCUGGAAAAGUGGCUAUGAAAACCACAUAAUAAAAUUUACGUACCAGCUAUCCAUACAAAAAUAUCUUGACAAUGAGAUAUAUAAGGAAUUUCGUGUGUACAACACAUUUUUCUUAAUGAACGCAUCCAAACUUGAUCCAGACCAAGAAUACCUUGUUAAAGUGAGAUCUAAAGCAGAAUGGUAUAACGAAGAGAAGAGUGAGUGGAGUAUGAUACGGCUAAAGACCAAUGCAAAACAGGCAUCGAGGGGGUUCCUCAAGUUAGCAUUGCCAGUGUGUUUGGUCGUUGCAGGUCUGAUCUUAUACAGCUUAUACAUUCCCAUCAAAAGAAUGAAGAUUGAAGCUUGCUUACAUGUGCCAUCCCCAGCCCCCUUCUUCCAGCCUCUCUUCAAAGAUUAUAAUGGAAAUCUUAAUGACUGGCUUGCAUCACAAGGGAAUCUGAAGUGGAUUCACGAAAUAGAAGAUCUCCAGACAACAAAUACUUUGAUUAUUGAGAGUAAACCUAUUAAGGAAGACCACUGCAUUUUGGCAACAGCAAAUACACCAUUGCAAGAUCAGAGUCCUUAUGUUGAUGCUUCUUUGAUGAACUGGGUCUCUUCUAAUACAAAUGGUCCUUGGGACAUCUCCCACACACAGCACCCAUGUUCAACCCUAGAGUUACGUUAUGGAGAUCAUCCCCUCGCCUCCGGAGUUUGAAGCAACUAGUAAAGUUGACUCUUGAUGGGAAGAAUUGAUGCCCAUGGCCAGAGACUCCCCGAUCACUCUAAAUGCCACUGUGAGGGUUACAAAAUCCUUCACAUUAUCCCAGAGAGUGUCAUUCCAGCGGUAUGUUUAUGUGCAAAUCGUGGUAAGCUGCAGAGUCUCUCAUUUCAUAACUAAGAAUGUGGUCUGUCAGGUUGAUGGCAUGAAGAUGUGUUUGCAAAGGAUGUGUAAACACAUGAAAUAAACU